ACACUUGCAAGGUAAUAAUGAAUCAGUAAGAAAACAUAAAGGGAUCCCUGGCCUGACAAAUAAGGGCUUGUGCCAGCAAAGAACAGAAUUGUCACAAGGAACAGGAAUUAGAAUUGAUUAAACCCAAUGGUCCUUUUUGACAGGGCAUUUAAUUAGUUUUAUAUUAUAUCGGGACAUUUUGUCAACUACUAAACAGAUCUUGUAACUUUAUUUGUAUAAGCUAUUGUAUUUUUUAUUUGGUUUUAAUUUUGUCUUUUAAAUUUUUCAUUGUAUUUUUAUAUUUUACGUGUUGUGAGCCUCCUGGAGAACUUCAGCUAUUGGGCAGUAUAGGAAUCUUAUUAAUAAUACCUACUUGAUGCAGCCUUCAAUUUAACUAAACUUUUGGUUAUGACAGAUGAUAGACCUUAUGUGUCUGGUGAAAAAUCUAGGCUUGAGCAUCAUGUAAAGCAUCCUAACAAACUUAACUAAAAUUAUAAGUAUUAGUAUUAUUUAGUAUUAUUGUUGUUAUCACAUUUAUACCACACCUUUCUUCCUCUUACAAGGAACUCAAGGCAGCUUAUCAGUUUCUCCUAUCUGUUUUAUCCUCACAACAACCCCUGUGAAGUAUGCUAGACUAAGAGACCGUGACUGGCCAAAGGCCAUUUGAUGAGCUAUAAAGCUGAGCGGGGACCAGAACCUGGAUCUCUCGAGUUCCAGUCCAGUACUCUGACCACUCUACCACACUGACUCUGAGCAAUUCCAACAUGGCAAAAAAAUUAUUUUGCCUUUGCAGGUCCCUGUGCCUCCUGCUAAUCUGUUUCAGAGAGACCCCCAGCUCUCUAGAGCAGAUCUGAAGGUGCAUGGAAUGCUGCAGGUGGGAGGAGGAACUGCUCCCUGAUGGAAGCAGUUGUUACCUAUGCUAGCAAUCCCUUGUCCCUUUCUGUUCCUCCUUGUGGUGUCUGUACAUCACACGGAUGGGCCCUGUGCCUGGGUAGAGACUGUUACCAGGAAGAUUUAACAGCUAAGAACAUUUUGGCAAGAGCUCUUCCUCUACCCUAACAUCCAUAUAAAAGGGAGGGGCUUCUACCAUUUCCUUAGUUCUUCUUCGACUGCUUUUAGUGCCUCCGGAAGUUCGUUCUCGUUCUGUUUCCUCAGAGCAUUUUUCUACAUUUUCUUUUCCUUUGCAGGUGGGAGGAGGAAUUGCUUCAUUUCCUUAUAGAAGCAGUUAUUUCACUACGUUAGCAAAGAUCAUAUCCCUUUCUGAUCUAGGCCUCUCUUGGAAUCAGAAUUUAGGAAUAAAAGAAAACUUUUUUUUCCAUUUUUAACUUUCUACAUAUAUAUGUUGAGUGCUGUCUGUUGCUCUGUGUUUUCUGAUAGAAUUUUAUUUCUCCAGAUCAGAUGAUUCUAUAGUGUGGCUUGCUUGAGAUGGUAUAUAACAUAAUGUACUGAAUUGUCCAUUUCUCCCUUUAACCAGUGGUAUUCUAAACUGGUUUGUCUUUACUCUGUAGAGCUGAAUUCUAUGUAGGUAUUUUUGAUGAGAGGCUUUUUGAGUGCAAGUAUGUAGGACACCUUUUUAGACAGAAAGGUGUCAGGAAAAGGAAAUCCUGGAUUUGCUUUUUAUUUCUGAUAUAGACUAGCUCCAGCUAUUGUAAUAUUAUGAUACUGAAUGUAUUGUAAUGCAAUCUAUAUUUGUAAGGAAUUUGCAGUGAAAAGGGGUCAUCUUGGUUCCCAUAAGAAAGAAAUAGUGGUUACCUGUUCAGCAAAUGAGAGCACUUUCAUUUUAUUGACCAAAAUUAGGCUGAGAGAGCAGUCCUGUGAAUGUUUGGAUAACUGCUCUGACCUCAGAAGGAGGAGUCAGAGAUUGGCUGCCAGACUUAUCCUUACAGGUGGCUCAGAAAGAGACUAUGAAAGUGACCUUGGAGGACAAGGAAAGAGAGCAUUCUGGUAGGUGAAGAGAGGGGGAACUGGAGGGACCAGGUUAUGAGAUAACCAGAGCCUUCUUCCAUUUCCUUCCCUCUCCUUCUAAGGUACCCUUGCUAGAUGGGCUGAAAUGCACAAAUACUGAAAAUACAGGUUGAUGAAGAAUGGGGAAGCAAAGACAGUUUCAGACAUUCCUGCCACUCUGCUGGCUUCAGCUGUACAAAGCAUUUGGAAUCUUGGAAGACUCCAAGUUUGGGUGCCUCUGAGCAGCAAGGGUACUCUCCAUAAGAAAGGAGAUUCUGUCUUCUAGGUCUAACAUGUAGUAUAUGAUAAUAGAUUCUAGAUGUUUAUGUCAUUUCUAUAUCAUAAAGAAUAGGUACUUGUUAAGCAAGAGUGCAGUUCAUAUAUGUAUUAUAUACUAGCUUGUAAAUGUUACAUAGUUACAGUGUCAGUUCUGGCUUAAUCUUAAUAUAAAGCUCUUUACAAGACAGAAUAGAGUGCAAGUUCUGUAUUCCCGUAAUAGUUGCAUAUUAAUUGCAAGUCAAAUGCAAUAAAUUAUAAUAUUGGGCUUAAAUAAUUUUUUGCCCAAGUAGUUAUUAAAAAUAUGAAGGGGAAAGUUAAUAGUUUGUUGCCUUCCAACUUCCUGUACAUCUAUAUUUAUCCCCUUUUGUGGUAAACAAAUGUUUGUGCCUUAGUGCUGUAAGUUUGAUUAUAUGUAAUGGUUCAGGGAUUAUGUUCUUGAAGUUUUUCAUAAGGAUUUUAAACACUCAACUUUCAGUCUUCUACUUUAAACAGAACACCCAGCAGUUACACACACAGUACCAGUCAAGUCUGAACCUUUUUUUGAAGAUUCAUUUUAAUUUAUUUUCCAACGCAUCAUGUAAAACAUAUGUUCUACACAAGCAUAUGUCUUUUAAAGAGAUCACAUUAAAGCAAGACUAUUGAUGAGCAUAUUGGGGAUGUAAAUGGCUGUCAGGUCAAGCGGUAGCAAUCGAAUGAACCUUUGCUGCUGACGUUAAU